rnacentral:rRNA from 1 species
AUUGAACGCUGGCGGCAGGCCUAACACAUGCAAGUCGAACGGCAGCACAGAAGAGCUUGCUCUUUGGGUGGCGAGUGGCGGACGGGUGAGUAAUGUCUGGGAAACUGCCCGAUGGAGGGGGAUAACUACUGGAAACAGUAGCUAAUACCGCAUAACGUCGCGAGACCAAAGUGGGGGACCUUCGGGCCUCACACCAUCGGAUGUGCCCAGAUGGGAUUAGCUAGUAGGUGGGGUAAUGGCUCACCUAGGCGAAGAUCCCUAGCUGGGCUGAGAGGGUAACCAGCCACACUGGAACUGAGACACAGUCCAGACUCCUACGGGAGGCAGCAGUGGGGAAUAUUGCACAAUGGGCGCAAGCCUGAUGCAGCCAUGCCGCGGGUAUGAAGAAGGCCUUCGGGUUGUAAAGUACUUUCAGCGGGGAGGAAGGCGGUGAGGUUAAUAACCUGGCCGCUUGACGUUACCCGCAGAAGAAGCACCGGCUAACUCCGUGCCAGCCGCCGCCGUAA